AAUAAUAAAGCUGGGAGAAAACUAAAUAAAUAAAAUCAAACCUUCCCAAGGUAAUUUGCCCUAGUAUUUUCUUGCAUUGCCAAUGAAGGCCUACUUUUUAAAGGAAAACUUCUGAGGAUCAGUGGGCUGGUGCCGCCACCUGUUGAAUCAAUGGACUGAUCAAAGGACCUAUGUCUUGGCUGAUGAAUAGAAAUGCCAGCUCAGAACACUGAGGGUCCCUUGAGAAGUUCAUGGCAGAGACCUACAGGAGGAGCAACAGCAGCAGCAGCUGUGCUUCAUUCUUCAGUGACACACAGAGUCCAACAGUACCUUGUGAUUGACAGCAUCGAAGAUUGCUAGUAUCUGUUUUGUUCUACCUUUCCUACUGGCAACAUCCCAGAUAUUCACCUCAUCUCAGAAUUGACAGAAUACAUAAAUCCACUUUUAAUUUCAUUAGGCAGUGAGCCAAACUGUGAUAAUUGAAAGUGGUUAAUCAGAGAAGAUAAACCUCACCCCAUCCAAGACAAUGAAACCAUUUAAUGUAUGAACUUUCUAUGAUUUCUGUUUUAUUGAAGAACACAUUCCUGGGUUGCAGGACUUUUACUGAGUUGGAGCUGAGGGAAUAGACAUAUAUUAAAUUGCAUAUAAAAAUAGGCUCCUUGAGAAAUAAAAAUAUCCCAUCAU